rnacentral:lncRNA from 9 species
GGUUUGCACCGCGUCCGUUGGUCUUGUCGACGGAAUUUGGGUUUUCAAAUCAGUUCUAGAUGUGGAGGAACUACUUGCCACGCACGGGAGGAUGCUGAGUCCCUUGUGAAAAUUUCAAUCAGAUCUCUCUGAAAUAGAGCCACAGUGACAGUCUGGACUUCCCAUCACUCUGGUUAUUGAGGAACCGAGGAGGACCUGGCCCAGACCUGGCCGCAUCAAUACCGACUGCUGAUUGAGGAUGAUGUGAUGAUUUGGAACCCGGAAAAGCAGAGGGGGCUGGGCCCGGUGGCACUGACCGUUUGCAGCAGGUGCUGCUCACUCUUCAUAGAUGUUCCAUCACUUCUUGGAAGACUGCAUUUCCUAACCUCCCUGGCAGGUAGGUAAAAAACUUGUAACUGGUUUUGCCCAAUGGAAUGUAGACAAAAACAAGCAUGUCUUACGCAGGCCUGAUGCCCAUGCUAUCCAGAUAGCUUUCAUAUUCUCUCCUUCCCUCUCCCAACCACCCAGGUAAAAGCAAAGAUGGCAGAAACGCUGGAGCCCCGCAGUGGGGGGGGGGGGUGUGUCACAGAAUAGAGAGAGCGCCACCCAGAGGAACUUCCUGAACCACACUGGAUGUUGAUGCAGCAAGAAAUAAACUCGUACUGUUUUGAACUACUGAGAUUUCAGGGUUGUCUGUUAGAGCAGCUAUCACGAAUUAUCCUCAUAUAAUUUGGCACUCCUUUCCAAGGAUUUUAUUUAACUUCCUCUCCUUGCCUUUGAUAGGGUUUAUUGGCAAUCUCUUACCUCGCGACAAUUGCAAAUUUGUGGCUCAUAAAACAUAACAGAAAGGAAAAUGAUUAUAAAAGUUCACAAAACCCAGAAAUCACAUCUGUAGACAUUUAUCUCAGAAAAACGAAAAUUUAUA